CAGUAGCCGCGGUAAUACGAAGGUCCCGAGCGUUGUUCGGAAUCACUGGGCGUAAAGGGAGCGUAGGCGGCGUGGUAAGUCAGAUGUGAAAUCCCGGGGCUCAACCCCGGAACUGCAUCCGAUACUGCCAUGCUAGAGGAUUGGAGAGGUAGCUGGAAUUCUUGGUGUAGCAGUGAAAUGCGUGGAGAUCAAGAGGAGCACUCGUGGCGAAAGCGAGCUACUGGACAAUAACUGACGCUGAGGCUCGAAGGCCAGGGUAGCGAAAGGGAUUAGAUACCCCCGUAGUCCCUGUCUCUUAUAU
rnacentral:rRNA from 1 species